GUGGGGUUUCGGGACACCAGUAUAACACCAACUUCCUUGGUCCAUGCAAGGCUCCACAGACUUCCCGACAAGCAUGCUUCGACGACGACCAUGUGCUGUGCUUCUGGAAGCAAUGUGAAAAGAAAUACAGCGAGAUAAAAGCGCUGUCCCGUCGUAACUGGAACAUGCCAGACAGCCAUUACGACGAAAUCGAUGCCUGUGCUAAAUAUCCAUGACGUGGCGUUACUCUGCUCAAGAUUACCUGGUCGUGUCGUGCUUUCUACUUCGAUUCGACUAAGUGGCUGCUGCCGCUGUCUUGUGUUCAAUAUAGCAUUGAGACACUGUUUCAGAACUGGUCACAGUUGUGGACUAUGUGGCUCUAUAACAGAUUAUUCUCCUUUGCCACUUGUGUGUGAUAAUCGUUGAAACUGUGCUACAAGAUCUAUAACGUGAGGUUGCGUAAAGUUUGAGGCAACUCGAAA